rnacentral:rRNA from 1 species
CCCCACUAUGCCUAGCCAUUAACAACAAUUAGACCACCUACCAACCAAUUCGCCAGAGAACUACAAGCAAACCGCUCGAAACUCAAAGGACCUGGCAGUGUCCCACAUCCCCCUAGAGGAGCCUGUCCUAUAAUCGAUACUCCCCGCUCCACCCCACCACUUUUGGCCAAUCCAGCCUAUAUACCGCCGUCGCCAGCCUACCCUGUGAAGGCACCAAAGUAAGCCAGAUAGCCUACACAAAAACGUCAGGUCAAGGUGUAGCUAAUAAAGUGGAAGAGAUGGGCUACAUUUUCUAAGCUAGAAAAUUUUAACGAAUAGUACAAUGAAACCCGUACUUGAAGGAGGAUUUAGCAGUAAGAUAACUGAGAAUACUUAUCUUAACCCGGCACUG